UACGAAGGGGGCUAGCGUUGUUCGGAAUCACUGGGCGUAAAGCGCGCGCAGGUGGUCUAUUAAGUUAGAAGUGAAAGCCCAGGGCUUAACCUUGGAACGGCUUUUAAGACUGGUAGACUAGAAUCUGGUAGGGGAAUGCGGAAUACCGAGUGUAGAGGUGAAAUUCGUAGAUAUUCGGUGGAACACCAAUGGCGAAGGCAGCAUUCUGGAACAUGAUUGACACUGAGGCGCGAAAGCGUGGGGAGCAAACAGG
rnacentral:rRNA from 1 species